ACUGGUAGUAAUGUCUCCAUUUUCAUUUCUGAUUUUAGGAAUUUGAGUCUUCUUUCUUUUUCUUUGCCAAUAUAGCUAAAAGUUUGUCUAUUUUGGCCAACCUUUUUGAAGAAUUUACUUUCGGUUUUGCUGAGUUUUCUUUACUAUUCUCUAAUCUUUAUUAUCCUCUUCUGCUAGCAUUAGGUUUAGUUUGCUUGUUUUCUGUAAAUUUUUAAGGUGUAAAGUUAAGUUGUUGAUUUGAAGUCUUUCUUUUUUAAUGUAAGCAUUUACAGCCAUAAAUUUUUCUCUUAGCACUAUUUUCUCUGUGCUCCAUACAUUUUGGUAUGUUGUGGUUUUGUUUUCACUUGUCUAGUUUCCUUCCCUGUGGUUGGAAAAGGAACUCUGUAUAAAUUCAUUCUUUUCAAAUGUAUUAAGAAUUAUUUUUUGGCAUAACAUACAGUCCUUUUUUGGAUAAUUUUUCAUGUGCACUUGAGAAAAAACAAGUAUUCUGCUAUAUUGGGUGGAGUCCUCUGUAUGUCUGUUACUCCAAUUAGUUUAUAGUAUUGUUCAGUUACUCUGUUUCUUUACUGCUCUUUUGUUUAGUUGUCCUAUCCAUUGUUGAAAGUGGGUUUCUAAAGUUUCUAUUAUAGAACUAAUUAUUUCUCUCUUCAAUUCUGUCAAUAUUUGAUUAAUAUACUUUGGGGCUCUGAUGUUUGGUGCAUGCAUGUUUAUAAUUGUUAUAUUUUCUUGGUAUAUUAUCAUUAUGUUGUUUGAUUUAGUAUAGCUACCUCAGCUUUUGUUUUUUAUUUACAUGGACUAUCUUUUUCCAUUCCUUCACUUUUAACCUACUUUUUUCUUUAGAUCUCAAGCAAGUCUUUUGUAGACAGCAUAGAGUUGAAUCAUGUCUUUUUUCUAACAUCUACUAGGCCAAUAUCUGUGUCUUUGGGGGUUUAAUUCCUUUAAAGUAAUUACUGAUAGGGAAGAACUUACUUUUGCCUUUUUAUUAUUUAUUUUUAUGUACAUCUUAUAGCUUUCCCUCAUCAUUCCCUCCAGUUAUGUUGUCUUUUGUGAUUAGUUGCUUUUUUGUAGUGACAAAUUUUGCUUCCUUUCUCAUUCUCUUUUGGCUAUACAUAUUUUCUUUGUUGUUACCAUGGGGAUUACAUAUAAUAUCCCAAAGUUAUAACAAUCUAAUUUGAUUUUUGAUAUCAAUUUCAUACAAAACUCUACAUAUGUACUGCUCUGUUUCCCAUCCCCACUUUACAUUAUUGGUGUGAAAAUUGUAUCUAUAUGCUAUAUAUUCACUAACAGAUUUAUAAUUACUUUUUAUGCAUUUCUUUGAAAUCUAUAGAAAAUAAGUGGAGCUAUGAAACAAAAUAAUAAUGGUUUUAAUGCCUGCCCAUCUAUUUAUCUUUAUUGGAGAGUCUUUAUAUGUUCAUGUGGCUUGGAGUUAACUAUCUAGCAUCUUUUUGUUAUAACUCAAAGGACUCCAUUUAACAUCUCUUGUAAUCAGGAAUAGUGGUAACAAGCUCUCUGGAAUGUCAUAAUUUCCCCCUUGUUUUUGAAGGACAGUUUUGCCCGAUAAUUCUUGGUUGAUAGUUUUUUCUUUCUGGACGUUAUAAUUUUUCUUUCUUUUUCUUUUUUAAAUAAAGAAAAAGGGUUUAUUUGGCUCAUGAUCUUGCAGGUAGUAUAAGAAGUAUGGUGCCAGCAACUGCUUCUGGUGAGACCUCAGGAAGCUUACAAUCAUGGAGGAAGGCAAGAGGAGCUGGCUUGUCACAGGGUAAGAGAAGGGAGGGAGGCACCAGACUCUUUUGUUUUUGGCUGUCCGUAUAUUUUUACAUUAUCAAGUCUUUGAUAUUUCUUUUUUUUUUCCUUCAACUUUUAAGUUCUGGGGUACAUGUGCAGGUUUGUGACAUAGGUAAACGUGUGCCAUGGUGGUCUGCUGCACAGACCAUCCCAUCACCUGGGUAGUAAGCCCAGCAUCCUUCAGUUAUUUGUCUUGAUGCUCUGCCUUCCCCCAUGUCUCCACCCAUAAUCUUUUUUCCCAGGUGUCUGCAGGUCUGUGGUCCUUGUGCAGAUUUCACAAUUAGUGGCUGCUACGUUGGCAAGAUCAAAACCAUGCCACAUGGAGGAGGAGUGGGGCAAGGAUAAAUGAAAAUACCAGGAAAUUUCAUAUCAUCUUAAAGAUGGCUUUUUCUUUAUUGGCUGUUUACUUGGUUGCUAUAGAACUUGGGCGGUUUUCCAGAACACUUAUAAGGAGUGGAGUGUGGAUGUUUUGAGAAGCAUCUACAGUUUGAAGCACAAUAUCAGCAAUAUUACCAGCAGAGAGACAUCAACAGGAUUGUGAGAUGAAGCAUUUGUCUGCAAUCUGUAAUGCCUCAAGCCUUGCUACUCUUUCAAGUGAAGCCCUUGGUCUAAGAGCAUUGAUGUUACCAGAAGUUUUGAGAAAUUCAGCAACCCAAGUUCUACCUAAGACAUACCAUAUUAGAAUUUGCAUCUUUAAUAAGAUUCCCAGGUGAUUCACAUUAAAGCUUGAAACAUACUGUCCUGGAGGGUUGCAGAAAAGAGGAGGAGGGGGUGAAUUUUUUUGAGGGGAAGGAAUAGAGAAAAGGAGAAAGACAUAUGUAUUUUUCUUUCUGUUAGGAAACAAUCACUGGUGCACCAUAUGUCCCCCCUUGAGUGACCUUGAUGACACAGUGCAGAAACAUCUCUCAUGUGUAGCCAGAUCUGUUUGCUAUUGUAAUUUUAUGAACUACCAAUAAGCCUCAAGGGCCUGGAAGCAGAGCUGUCUUGAGAGAGAAAGGCAGAGGGAGAUUACAUACAGAGAAGAGGAGGAGAUAAUGUGACCAGAAAGGCUGAAGGUGGAGUGAUGUGGCCAUAAGCCAAGGAACACCUGGGACCACCAGAAGCGGAUUCUCUCCUAGAACCUUUGGAGGUGAUAUGACCCUCCAGAUACCUUGAUUGUGCACUUCUGGCCUUCAAAAUUGUAAGAGAAUCAAUUUGUUGUUUUGUAACUGCAGUGUUGGUACUUCCUAAAGGAGAUCCAAGGUUCUAGGGAAGUCAGAUCCAAAUUUGUGUCACCUCCUGACACAGAAAGUAAUCUGGGCCUCACUGAAGUCAAAGUUUUGUCUGGUAGUGCUCAGUGUACUUCCUGCCACACGUUUUGGUCAAUCCCUCAGAAACAGGUAAAGUUCCUCCCAUCUCUUGGUGUUAUAGUCUAUAGGUCUUAUACCUCUCAGAGGGCUGCAUACGUGGUAGAGAUAGUUGUUCUCUGAAUGUUAGGUUCCAAAAGUGAGACUGUGACAAAUGGAUUUUUCUCACAAAGCCAGCCUGUAAACUGGGAACACUCUGAAAUCCUUGGUCCAUAUACAAACAUGCAGGGAUUCGCAUUGCAUGUGUGUGCCCUGUAAUAAUUCUCAAAGAGACAGAGACAGCUUGGGAAAUUGCAAGACUUGUUGCUCAUGUAAUCUAGAACAAAAAAAAUCCCACUCUUUGGUUUUAGUGCUUGAGAAAAUUUAUCUAACAAAAUGGUUAAAGCAGCUAUCUGGGUCACAGCAGGGUUACCCAGUUGUAUCUUAAAGAGACAACCAGGGCAACACUUGUUCAUGUGCAAAGAAGGAUACUAAGUGUUUAAAACAUCUGGCAGGCAAAGUGAACCUAUGGCUACGUCCUAGCCAAGCGGCGCCACAUCUGGCUUUCAGGAGAGGCAUGUAGCAGGGAAGGGGAGCAAAUUCCUCCUAAAUCUGGAUCUGUGACUUAUUUAGUUUUGUGGCCACUUCCCUGUUCUUUUGCCUUGUAGAGGGAUGACUGCAUGCAGAUUUCCAACGCACAGGAGCAGAGCCACUUAGGAAGCAGGCAAGAGGUGUUUAAAAACUCCUGGGGGCAUUGAAAUCCAAGAAAACACAGCCAUUAUUAUUUCAUUUGCAGAAGUAAAUUAAGCUGAUUGACUCUGACCAUCACCAAAUCAAGUCAAAAAGUUCCUGGCACGUCAGAGAUCUCUUCUUCAUUUUGCAUGGCUUGGCAAGGGCAGUUUUCCAGCCUCUUAUAUCCCUGGUGAAUGUCAGGCCUGCAUUUCAAUCAACUUUUAUUUCCAAAUAUACGUUUCAGCAAUUUUUCAGGAGCUGGGGUGGGGGGUUUGAGCAUGGAAAGGGCCGGGGUAUGUUACAGUUCAGGAAGGGUAUAAAAGGACAUUAAUCAUUCCUGUGGAAACCUUCCCGUCAGCAAGUCAAACUGCUGAUAUUAAUGAGCAUGUUUCAUAUUUCAUUGAGUCUCUCCUGGUUUCAGCUGCUCCUUAUGACUCAGCUGGCAAAACAGAAAGCAGUUGCCUAAGUAUUGUAUGAAAGUCCUACAGAUAGGUAGUAAAGGGGCAUUUGAGGGUUGAGGGCAGAGCCAAGUCCCCCCAGGCUCUGAGCACCACACCAGUGCCAACUCCAAGCCCAUCUAUUAUCCACUUAACUACUGCUGAGGACAGAGGAUGGGGUGCACAGGGGGACUCAUAGCCUCUUGAAGCAUGAGGAAGAUGGCAGAGGCUUUGGGUGUCAUGCUGGGCCACACAAGGAACCCAAAUGCUGAGCAUGAGGCUACUAUCGGAAACAAAGAUUUGUGAGAUGCAAGCCUUUGUAGAAAAGAGGAAGAUAAGAUUUCCCCAACUAAACUGGAGUACUGAUUAGCACGGGUGUUUAAGGUUAGACUUGGAGGGCGGGUGGAGCCCAGUAAUCAUUGUUUCCUCAGCCCUUCAAUUGAAAAGACAUUGCUUUCUCCAAACAACUCCGAGUCAGUUGAUUACUGUAUGAUGGGUGGGGGAGUCGAUGGCUUGCUAGGGCCUGGGAUGCUCUUGCUCCCUGAACAGACCCUGUCAGGCACUUGGGAAACCUAGUUGACCAUUAGCGGGGUGAGGAAUAAACAGAGCUGAGAGAGGUGGUGUAGUCUGAGGAUAUUUUCAGCAGGGUGGAGAGGCCUGACAAGCCUGUGCCUAGAGGGAAGAACAGCUCCUUGGCUGGCAUCUCUCCCUGCACAGUGCUACUCAAGGGCUCGCCAUCGACCUUGCUAAAAGUGAGGGCCCAUCCUAGGGUGGGGAGGUCUGAGCCAGUGUCCG